CGCGCUGUUUUGUUUUCCUGUUGCUCAAGCGAACCAAACCGAACCGAACCGUCCUCACGCACGGGAUUUUGCUUUCCUUUCACCUGAGCACACUGGAUCGAACAGAACCGGACCUGACCGUUCUCACACUGUUUUCCAUUUGCUCAAGUGAACCAAAGCAAAUCGAACCAAAUCAUUCUCACACACGGGGCUUUGUGUUCCUUUCACUCAAGCGAACCAAACCAAACUGAACCAAACCGUUCUUACACGCAGGACUUUUUCCUUUUCCUCAAGCAAACCAAACCAUUCUCAGGCCUGCAGCUGUUUUCCCCUCCUGCUCACCCAGCCCUUACAGAAUCCACACACUCCUGGUUCUGCAGAACUCCGUGGAUGCUCCCCUGAAAAAUUCUCCCCCCAGUUUUCUCAGCGAUGGCAGGAACAUCUGAAGCUGCAUUUAAGCAGACCAUGUGCUUAUUGCUGGCAGCGACAGGACGAUGGAGAGAUAAGAAAAGGAAUGUUCACACGGAGGCUCCUCUGAACGUGCCUGGGCCGCUCCAGGACACUCAGGAUGUGUCUGCACAUCCCCCACCCCUGGCAAGGCAACCAGCCCAAGGAAAACCCAGAGGACAAACUUGUCCCACACUUGGCUGCUGCACUGUCUCCCCUUACACAGAGUUUUGGCACUGCCUCAGUUUGAGCUGAGGCAACUCUGGAGGAAAAGCACACAAUGGGAUGGUGCAAAUAGGAAAUGAGAGGGAAUGGGGCAUGCUGGGGAAACGACUAUAGAGUAAUUCACCUUUAACCUGCUUGAAAAGGCAGCUGAAAAAGCUGAGCUCCACUCUCACGGGUUUGGCCAGGUCCUGCUCAGCCCCAGAGCUGACAAUCCCCAAGAACCUUCCCUGUCCCUGGGCUGUGCUUAUCCCACCUCCCUAAUUCCACUGUGACCUCAACUGCUACUGAUUGUUUAUGGUGCAUCUUACCAGGACACUUAGGCAAAUCUCACGGCUUCCCACCAUAAAUAUCAAAAGAACAAACCCUGAUUUAUUAAUCAAUUAAU